rnacentral:rRNA from 1 species
UCCAGACUCCUACGGGAGGCAGCAGUGGGGAAUCUUCCGCAAUGGGCGCAAGCCUGACCCAGCAACGCCGCGUGAAGGAAGAAGGCUUUCGGGUUGUAAACUUCUUUUCUCAGGGACGAAGAAAGUGACGGUACCUGAGGAAUAAGCCACGGCUAACUACGUGCCAGCAGCCGCGGUAAUACGUAGGGAGCGAGCGUUGUCCGGAUUUACUGGGUGUAAAGGGCGUGCAGCCGGGAGUACAAGUCAGAUGUGAAAUCCCGCGGCUCAACCGCGGAACUGCAUUUGAAACUGUAUUUCUUGAGUACUGGAGAGGCAGACGGAAUUCCUAGUGUAGCGGUGAAAUGCGUAGAUAUUAGGAGGAACACCAGUGGCGAAGGCGGUCUGCUGGACAGCAACUGACGGUGAGGCGCGAAAGCGUGGGGAGCAAACGGGAUUAGAUACCCUAGUACG